rnacentral:rRNA from 1 species
CAGGAGUAAAGUUGUAUUUAAACUGUAAGAAUAUUGGCAGGUUUUUAAAUUAUCUUUGGAGGUUGAGUAGUAAUUGAGARCCCUCAUUAACAACUUUUACUGUAGGCGCAUGUAUGAUCGUUUAUUUUAUUCUUAAGGAUUGUAAUUUUAGAUUAACUAUUUUCUGUAAAAAUAGAUAAAUACUUGGUAUAUGUAAAAGAUUUAAUUUGACCUACAAUAUGUUAUCUUGUGGAUACUUUUUUAGUAGAAGGUUGAAAAUGUAAAAGACAGUAAGUUUUUUUUUAUAUAAAGCUGAAGUUUAUUUAAAAACGGUACAAAUCAUCCAUCAAUUGCCUUCAGGGGAGUAAGUUGUAGUAAAGUAGAGUUAGGGGAACCUGGCUCUA